CUCUGAUUCUUCCCUUCCAGGACUUGUGUCCUUUGCCAGACUAACAGGCAUUCAGAGGAGGGGUGUAAGGACACAGGCUGUAUGGGAGAGUCCCACAAAGAGAAGAGGUGAGGACAUCAAGAGGCACAUUUCACUUCUGGCAGCUGGAACUGAACAUGGGGUAUAAGGCUAAGCUGAUUCAGGAAAUGCAUCCCUGAAGAGGAAAGUCAUACAGGAGACCCAGGCUUCAAUGUCACCUGUAGAGAGAAGAUUAGGUGGAUUAUGGGAAUCCACUGGGCACAGCCAGAGGUCCCUCCCUCAGUGGCACCAGAACUGAGUCUGAAAAAGUGGGGUUCUGAAGCCCUGAGUUGCCCCGGGCAACACGUCAUCUCCAAGCAUUUGAUUUCAUUUGAGUCAAUGAAAACCUGAAGGGAAUACAUUGACCAGCCUCUAAACCAGCAGAGUGUCCCAUGGCACCCACUCCAGGGAAGGCUCAUAAGGAUAACUGGACACUGUAGGACUUGAGGCAUGUGGGAUAUGGGGAGGAAUCCCACGUGCAUAUCUCUAAUAAAAUGUCUGUGUUCAUCUGGCAUUUUGCUUUACAUUGCAAAACUACAUGUAAGUACAAUGAGAGAUAGGGUAAUAUGUGCAUUAGGGGAUUUAAUAUCCCUACUGACUGUGGAGUGAUUUAUUUGCUCUACCAAUGUGAAUGUGACUCCUACUUGCCUAGCCAACUCCAUGUAAUAACUGUAGGAGAGAUUUUUAUGUACAUAUAUUUUCCCCCUACAUUUCCCCAUACUCAUUCUCAAGGUAUUUGCUUAGCUUCUGUGCUCUGCCUUGCACUACUCCAUGAUGGAAAAAUAAAUAUUCAAGAGCUUAAAUCUCAGCAGUGAGAAUUUCAAAAUCAUCAGCUUUAAUGAUUUACAAAUUCAGUACUUCAGUCUCCUUCUCUCUCUCACCCUCUGCCUAUCACAGCUGGUUUUGCCA